rnacentral:rRNA from 1 species
AGUGAACGCUGGCGGCGUGCCUAAUACAUGCAAGUCGAACGUGAAAGUCCUUCGGGAUGAGUAAAGUGGCGCACGGGUGAGUAAUGCAUGGGAACGUGCCCUAAAGUGGGGAAUAACUGUUGGAAACGACAGCUAAUACCGCAUAGUCUCGAGAGAGUAAAGGUGGCGCCCGCAAGGGGCUAUCGCUUUAGGAUCGGCCCAUGUCCCAUUAGCUAGUUGGUAGGGUAAUGGCCUACCAAGGCAACGAUGG